GCUUCUGUGAUGGAAUUGGCAUACAUGCUAGGUUUAGAACCUAGAUUUUACAGGUUCGAGUCCUGUCAGAAGUA
rnacentral:tRNA from 1 species